rnacentral:rRNA from 1 species
GUCGAGCGGAUCUUCAUUAGCUUGCUUUUGAAGAUCAGCGGCGGACGGGUGAGUAACACGUGGGCAACCUGCCUGUAAGACUGGGAUAACUUCGGGAAACCGGAGCUAAUACCGGAUAAUCCUUUUCCUCUCAUGAGGAAAAGCUGAAAGACGGUUUCGGCUGUCACUUACAGAUGGGCCCGCGGCGCAUUAGCUAGUUGGUGAGGUAACGGCUCACCAAGGCGACGAUGCGUAGCCGACCUGAGAGGGUGAUCGGCCACACUGGGACUGAGACACGGCCCAGACUCCUACGGGAGGCAGCAGUAGGGAAUCUUCCGCAAUGGACGAAAGUCUGACGGAGCAACGCCGCGUGAGCGAUGAAGGCCUUCGGGUCGUAAAGCUCUGUUGUCAGGGAAGAACAAGUAUCGGAGUAACUGCCGGUACCUUGACGGUACCUGACCAGAAAGCCACGGCUAACUACGUGCCAGCAGCCGCGGUAAUACGUAGGUGGCAAGCGUUGUCCGGAAUUAUUGGGCGUAAAGCGCGCGCAGGCGGUUCCUUAAGUCUGAUGUGAAAGCCCCCGGCUCAACCGGGGAGGGUCAUUGGAAACUGGGGAACUUGAGUGCAGAAGAGGAGAGCGGAAUUCCACGUGUAGCGGUGAAAUGCGUAGAGAUGUGGAGGAACACCAGUGGCGAAGGCGGCUCUCUGGUCUGUAACUGACGCUGAGGCGC